rnacentral:rRNA from 1 species
GACGAACGCUGGCGGCGUGCUUAACACAUGCAAGUCGAACGGAAAGGCCCCUUUGGGGGUACUCGAGUGGCGAACGGGUGAGUAACACGUGAGUAACCUGCCCUUGACUUCGGGAUAACUUCAGGAAACUGGGGCUAAUACCGGAUAGGAAUCCUUGCUGCAUGGUGGGGGUUGGAAAGCUUCGGCGGUUUUGGCUGGACUGGCGGGUUAUCAGCUUGUUGGUGGGGCAGUGGCUUACCAAGGCUUUGACGGGUAGCCGGCCUGAGUGGGCGACCGGCCACAUUGGGACUGAGAUACGGCCCAGACUCCUACGGGAGGCAGCAGUGGGGAAUAUUGCACAAUGGGCGGAAGCCGGAUGCAGCAACGCCGCGUGCGGGAUGACGGCCUUCGGGUUGUAAACCGCUUUCAGCAGGGGCGAAGCUUGUGGUGACGGUACCUGCAGAAGAAGCACCGGCUAACUACGUG